ACUUUUAAAGGAAAAUAGUC
rnacentral:tRNA from 1 species